UGGGGAAUAUUGGACAAUGGGGGAACCCUGAUCCAGCCAUGCCGCGUGUGUGAAGAAGGCCUUUUGGUUGUAAAGCACUUUAAGCGAGGAGGAGGCGCUCUAGGAUAAUACCCUAGAUGCGUGGACGUUACUCGCAGAAUAAGCACCGGCUAACCCUGUGCCAGCAGCCGCGGUAAUACAGAGGGUGCGAGCGUUAAUCGGAUUUACUGGGCGUAAAGCGCGCGUAGGUGGCUAAUUAAGUCAAAUGUGAAAUCCCCGAGCUUAACUUGGGAAUUGCAUUCGAUACUGGUUAGCUAGAGUAUGGGAGAGGAUGGUAGAAUUCCAGGUGUAGCGGUGAAAUGCGUAGAGAUCUGGAGGAAUACCGAUGGCGAAGGCAGCCAUCUGGCCUAAUACUGACACUGAGGUGCGAAAGCAUGGGAGCAAACAGGAUUAGAUACCCUGGUAGUCCAUGCCGUAAACGAUGUCUACUAGCCGUUGGGGCCUUUGAGGCUUUAGUGGCGCAGCUAACGCGAUAAGUAGACCGCCUGGGGAGUACGGUCGCAAGACUAAAACUCAAAGGAAUUGACGGGGUCAUAGCUGUUUCCUG
rnacentral:rRNA from 1 species